rnacentral:rRNA from 1 species
UACGAAGGGGGGCUAGCGUUGCUCGGAAUCACUGGGCGUAAAAGGGCGCGUAGGCGGGCUCUUAAGUCAGGGGUGAAAGCCCAAGGCUCAACCUUGGAAUUGCCUUUGAUACUGAGGGCCUUGAGACCGGAAGAGGUCGGCGGAACUGCGAGUGUAGAGGUGAAAUCGUAGAUAUUCGCAAGAACACCAGUGGCGAAGGCG